rnacentral:lncRNA from 1 species
GAGCGGCUUGUACUCCCCGAGGCUUCAACAGAGGGUCUGGAGCUGGGAGCUGCAGGUGGCCAGGAGGCGUUCAGUCCUACAGGAACAGACGGAGGUGACGGAGGCGGUCGUCCUGGUGGUGCUCGUCUGGAGGUCCGUGGCGGUCCUCUGGAGGUGCUCGUCUGGAGGUCCGUGGCGGUCGUCUGGAGGUGCUCGCCGUGAGGUCCGUGGCGGUCGUCUGGAGGCGCUCGCCGUGAGGUCCGUGGCGGUCGUCUGGAGGUGCUCGCCGUGAGGUCCGUGGCGGUCGUCUGGAGGCGCUCGCUGCAGAUGGAGGGAAGGCCGGGAGCUGUGCAGCCCAACGGAUGCAGAACGGUGAGACGCGGAACUGCACAGCUGCACAUUUCUUUCUAGGCUUGGUGAAUUGUUUAGAAUUAAACCUUUGACAUGCAGCCACAGCAGCUUUGAAGUGUUCUGAAAAAUGUCCGCUGCAUUCUCAGCCACUAGGACCAGCUCCAGGAUGUAGGCUAGGUGUGUGUGGCUGGCUGUUGGGUUAAAUAAUGCCUCACUCAAGGCUGCACAGUAGGGCAUCAGGGAGAUCUGUGGGAGCUAAAGCAGAGGAGUUGAUGAUCUGCAUCAUGUACGGGGAGAAAUGUGCAGUGUGCAACUGGAACGUGUCAUUCGCCUUUCAGAAGGACUGAGGCGGAGGCCAGCCUGGAGGCGGAGGCCAGCCUGGAGGCGGCGGUGGCCUGGAGGUCCUGGAGGCGUCCAACCUGGAAGGGGCGGCAUGGAGGGCCAGAAGGGCCUGGAGGCGGCCAACCUGGAAGGCCUGGAGACGGCAGAGGUCCUGGAGGCAACGGCGGGCCUGGAGGCGGAGGCCAACCUGGAGGUCCUGGAGGCGGUGGCAGCGGCCAUCCUGGAGGAGGACAACCUGGAGGUCCUGGAGAGCCUCGAGGCGCCGGCGGCAGCCAUCCUGGAGGCGACGGCGGAGACCAACCUGGAGGGCCUGGAAAGGUGGUACGGACCAACCUGGAGGUCCUGGCGGUGGCGUCCACCUGGCGGCGGCGGCGGCGUCCUGGAGGGCCCGGCGGUGGCGGCGUCCUGGAGGGCCCCGGCGGCGGCGGUGGCGGCGUCCUGGAGGGCCCCGGCGGCGGCGGUGGCGGCGUCCUGGAGGGCCCCGGCGGCGGCGGCGUCCUGGAGGGCCCCGGUGGCGUCCUGGAGGGCCCCGGCGGCGUCCUGGAGGGCCCGGCGGCGGCGGCGUCCUGGAGGGCCCGGCGGCGGCGGCUCCUCAUCCAAAAUGAGGCGACGUUUCGGAGGUCCAGGCGGUCGGCCCGGUGGAGGUCCUGGAGGAGACGGUCCCGGCGGUGGAGGUCCAGGUGGGUGGCCCGGUGGAGGUCCUGGAGGAGACGGUCUCGGCGGUGGAGGACGGCUGGGGGAUCCGGCGGUGGAGGUCCGAAGGCGGCUCGUGAUUAGACCAACCAGCUCCUCAUCCAUGGAAGGAUUGAAGGAGUCACUGGGGAUGAAGAUCACUGGGGAUGAAGAUCACUGCUCAGGGGCUGACGACCACCCCCCCCCCCCCCCCCCCCCCUCAUCUUUCCGGAGAAGCGUCCUCAAGGUGCAGGCGGUCAAACCACCACAUCUUUGA